CACGUAGGGCGCAAGCGUUGUCCGGAAUUAUUGGGCGUAAAGAGUUCGUAGGCGGUCUGUUGCGUCCGCUGUGAAAACUCGGGGCUUAACCCCGAGCCUGCAGUGGAUACGGGCAGACUAGAGGUAGGUAGGGGAGAAUGGAAUUCCCGGUGUAGCGGUGAAAUGCGCAGAUAUCAGGAGGAACACCUAUGGCGAAGGCAGCUCGCUGGGACGGUACUGACGCUGAGGCGCGAAAGCGUGGGGAGCAAACAGG
rnacentral:rRNA from 1 species